GAGAAAGAUGAGGGCAGAGAAGGGGCCACCGGAACUGGCAUUGUGGGGAUCGCUUGGGAUGUGGCCCAGGCUGUUGCAGUGAAGUGAAAGGAAGAAUCGAGAAGAGACUGAAGAUUCAGGAGGGAGAGCUGAUAACUGUAGGCGCACAGCCCCUGAGAAGGGGAAAGGGCGGGAUUUGCGAGCUGGGCUUUGAGAGGCUGUUCUGGAAGGCAGGAGAAAAGAGUGGUCAUCUGUCAGUGCUCACCUGGAAAUGGAUGAGGACAGCCCCUGAGACAACAUAAAUGUACGUUCUCUUGGAAUGAAACUUUUGUGAUGCUGAGGAGGGAGGUACCAUGUGGUCCGAGAGGAUCAGAGGCCCAAACCUUCAGAUUCCAGAGGGUGGAUUUCUCUAGUCCUUUCUCUCGGUGGGUUAGCAGCAGCUGGUCAUUGAAUUCCAAGGAAUCCUGGGAGCAGAAACCAACUUUUCGAAACAGGAAGUAUGUUUGAAGGAAAGAGGAAGACUAGUGACCACUUCCAUCGAGCAAAGUGUAUGUUUAGUUUGAAGCUCAGCAACCAGACGGGUUUCUUCCCUCUCACCACCCAGCCCUCACCAGCCUCCCCCCACCCUCCCCAUCACCUGACCGAAAGACACAGGUCAGCUGCUAUGGGAUAGUGCGGUGAAGAGGAAAGAAGCCUGAACCUAUCCCGACACUUGAGUCUGAGUUUUACGGCUUUGAGUUUGAUUGUUACUGGUUUAUUAAAUGAGCUGGACCUGGUGGGGUGCCAGGAGGAAGAUGAUUUAUUCCAAGCAGCUUGGAAUUCCAUGUAGCUUUUUCCGUCUACUUUUGAGAGCUUCUGUCCUUGAGAGCUUCUCCAGGCAACUGUACAGAGACCCAGUCAAUGUAAUAUCAAAACCCUAAACUCUCAUCUGAGAGUUGAGGAUGAGAUGGUUGAAUGGCAUCACCAACUCGAUGGACAUGAGUUUGAGCAAACUCCAGGAGAUGGCGAAGGGCAGGGAAGCCUGGCAGGCUGCAGUACAUGGGGUCACAAAGAGUUGGACAUGACUGAGCGACUGAAUGACAACAAACUCUCGUCCCGUUUAAACAUUUUUCUCCCUAAGCCAGGGCCUCUCUCACCUUAUGAAACCUAAGGUGUGGAAGCAGGAGGUGGUCAGCUGCUUCUUCCUCUGCCUUCCUGCUCCCCCGCUUGUUUGCCAUCCUGGCCCCUCCGGGGUGGCAAGGAGGAGAGGUUGUAUGGUGGCCAUUAGAAGCUGGUGUCCUAUGAUCCUGUCAGGCUCCCAAUGCAGGUUUUUUCCUCUCAUAAGGUGUGGGUAGCCAGCCUCGAAGAUGGUCUCCAACAACCCCUACCUCCUCACAGGACACUCUUGUGUAGCACCUCCUCUUCCCCUCCCUUGUACCCUGGUUGGUUUCUGCGACCAACAGAAUAUGGCAGGAGUGAUGGUGUUUUGAGGUUAGGUUAUAAAAAACACUGUGGCUUCUAUUUUACUAUUUCAUUAGCUCUGAGAGAAGUGAGUGGUCAUGUUGGGAAGCCACCUGUGUGAACGUCCGUUUACUGAGGAAGUUGGGCUUUCAGUUAUCAGCCAGAGAGGAACCGAGGCCUCUUCCCAACAGCCUCAUGAGUGAGUUAGAAGUGGGCGCUCCUGCCUCGUCAAGCACCAGAUGAGACUGCAGCCCAGCCGAUGUCGGAAUCCCAACCUCGUGAGAGACUCUGAGCCAGAGUCAUCCAGUUAAGCUUCUCCCGGUUUCCUGACCCUCAGAAACAGUGUCAGACAACACAGCUUGUUGUUUGA